GACGAAAAUUUUCAACUUGGCUAUCAUGUGUAAAAUCAGACAAGUGUUCGGUAAACAGGAAGUUGUCAAGUGAUGAAUCUGAAAACGCAUCACACGGUAUGGCUGACAUAUAUAAAUGUUGAUACCAAAUUACAGAAAGGGUGGAUGUGUAGUUCCUGAGAAAAAUGUGACGAAAGUUUCAUGGGACGGACUGACUGACGGACGGACUGAUGGACGGACGGACUGACAGACAGAGGUAAAACAGUAUACCCCCCCUUUUUUAAAGCGGGGGUAUAAUUAAGUGAGUACAAU
rnacentral:lncRNA from 1 species